rnacentral:lncRNA from 1 species
UUUGGCUCCGACUGGUGACCUUUUCGGGAACACGAGGAACGAAUAGGAAAUGAACAUAUAGGAAUAAAAUGGCAGGAAUGAAAAUAAAUGUUUGUUCCUUAUCAAAUUUAACAAGGAAUGCUUUUGUUCUAUAUUUCUCUACACAAAAAGAAAUGGAGAGGAACAAGAAGGAAAAACUAUUCCUUGUGAAUGGUGAAUUUUUUUGGGAAUGAUAAGUAAUUCAGUGUUCCGUUUCGUCCCUUUUGUCUCUUCUUUUCUUUUCAUAUCUGAUCUCCCCUCCUUCUCUGCUCCAACCGCAGCCUCUCCUCCUCUGUUCUCUCAUAUGCUUCCGGACACCUCCGUAACGCCUCCAUGCUCCUCUGCUCCGUGGCCUCCCUCCUCCUCUGCUCCGUGACGCCUCAUCUCCUCCUCCACUCCGUGCGGCCUCCUCUCCUUCUUAGUUUUGUCAUGGCGGCUGCAAGAGGUAAAUUAGGUUUUGUCCAGUCUCACCUUAUAUAAAUCUCUCGCUUUCUCUCAUGUAUCUCUUUUCCCAAUAAUCCUACUUAUUUGCUAUUAUUAUUUUUGUUAAUGUUUUCUUAACAAUCGUUUGUUUAUUUGUGUAGAUCUAAGAAGUAAGAAGAGGAUAAAAUGAAGAAGAUGAAGAAAUGCAGGAAGAAAAUGUCUUGGCUGAGAGUGACAGGUUCGGUAACGGCGGCCUUCUCUGCCGCUGCUCGUUCUCCGGCGCCUGCAUCCACCACAAAGAUAUAUAUAUAUAUUAUGUGUAAUAUAUAUAUAUGUGACUAAUGUAAACAUAUUU